rfam:Pseudomonas sp. HPB0071 genomic scaffold aczIi-supercont1.1, whole genome shotgun sequence.
GACAUUGCGUCUACAGCCUGAGCGUUAAAGUUCGGCUGAUGGCUGGUGGCAAUAGCCACCGGCCU